rnacentral:rRNA from 1 species
GAUGAACGCUGGCGGCGUGCCUAAUACAUGCAAGUCGAGCGAACGGACGAGAAGCUUGCUUCUCUGAUGUUAGCGGCGGACGGGUGAGUAACACGUGGAUAACCUACCUAUAAGACUGGGAUAACUUCGGGAAACCGGAGCUAAUACCGGAUAAUAUUUUGAACCGCAUGGUUCAAAAGUGAAAGACGGUCUUGCUGUCACUUAUAGAUGGAUCCGCGCUGCAUUAGCUAGUUGGUAAGAUAACGGCUUACCAAGGCAACGAUGCAUAGCCGACCUGAGAGGGUGAUCGGCCACACUGGAACUGAGACACGGUCCAGACUCCUACGGGAGGCAGCAGUAGGGAAUCUUCCGCAAUGGGCGAAAGCCUGACGGAGCAACGCCGCGUGAGUGAUGAAGGUCCUCGGAUCGUAAAACUCUGUUAUUAGGGAAGAACAUAUGUGUAAGUAACUGUGCACAUCUUGACGGUACCUAAUCAGAAAGCCACGGCUAACUACGUG